rnacentral:rRNA from 1 species
CACGUAGGGGACGAGCGUUGUCCGGAUUCAUUGGGCGUAAAGGGCUCGUAGGCGGUUUGUCGCGUCGUCUGUGAAAACUCGAGGCUCAACCUCGAGCUUGCAGGCGAUACGGGCAGACUUGAGUACUGCAGGGGAGACUGGAAUUCCUGGUGUAGCGGUGAAAUGCGCAGAUAUCAGGAGGAACACCGGUGGCGAAGGCGGGUCUCUGGGCAGUAACUGACGCUGAGGAGCGAAAGCGUGGGGGAGCAAACAGG